AGCUUUUCAGAGUGACAGUAUUGUGGCCAAUGAGGUUUAUCCAAGGCACAAUUAUUGCUAAUUGAAAAUUUUUCCUAUUGGUACAUUUUAAAUAAAAUGGCUUGUCAAUUGUGGAUCAGUUCAUACA
rnacentral:snRNA from 1 species